UUCGAUGUUUGACCACCAGGUCGAUGGC
rnacentral:sRNA from 1 species